rnacentral:rRNA from 1 species
GGGAACAUACCCUUUUCUACGGAAUAGCUCUGGGAAACUGGAAUUAAUACCGUAUACGCCCUACGGGGGAAAGAUUUAUCGGGGAAGGAUUGGCCCGCGUUGGAUUGGCUAGUUGGUGGGGUAAAGGCCUACCAAGGCGACGAUCCAUAGCUGGUCUGAGAGGAUGAUCAGCCACAUUGGGACUGAGACACGGCCCAAACUCCUACGGGAGGCAGCAGUGGGGAAUAUUGGACAAUGGGCGCAAGCCUGAUCCAGCCAUGCCGCGUGAGUGAUGAAGGCCUUAGGGUUGUAAAGCUCUUUCACCGAUGAAGAUAAUGACGGUAGUCGGAGAAGAAGCCCCGGCUAACUUCGUGCCAGCAGCCGCGGUAAUACGAAGGGGGCUAGCGUUGUUCGGAAUUACUGGGCGUAAAGCGCACGUAGGCGGAUAUUUAAGUCAGGGGUGAAAUCCCAGAGCUCAACUCUGGAACUGCCUUUGAUACUGGGUAUCUUGAGUAUGGAAGAGGUAAGUGGAAUUGCGAGU